rnacentral:misc_RNA from 1 species
UUAAGUUCAGCGGGUAUCCCUACCUGAUCCGAGGUCAACCAUAGAAAAUUGGGGGUUGUUGGCCAGCAUCCACCGGGACUCUAUAGCGAGAAGAAUUACUACGCUCAGAGCCCGACGGCACCGCCACUGUUUUUAGAGCCCGCCGGGUUAGCGGCGAGGCCCAACACCAAGCAGUGCUUGAGGGUUGUAAUGACGCUCGA